UACAGAGGGUGCGAGCGUUGUCCGGAAUCAUUGGGUUUAAAGGGUGCGUAGGCGGCCUUAUAAGUCAGUGCUGAAAUAUCCCGGCUUAACCGGGAGGGUGGCAUUGAUACUGUAGGGCUUGAGUAAAGUUGAGGUAGGCGGAAUUGACGGUGUAGCGGUGAAAUGCUUAGAUAUCGUCAAGAACACCGAUAGUGUAGACAGCUUACUAAGCUUUAACUGACGCUGAGGCACGAAAGUGUGGGGAUCAAACAGG
rnacentral:rRNA from 1 species